rnacentral:rRNA from 1 species
AAGGUAGCAUAAUAAUUUGUCUUUUAAAUGAGGGCUUGAAUGAAAGAUUUUAUAAUUAAAUAGACAUUUUAAAAUAUUUGAAUUUGGAGUUUAAGUAAAAAUACUUUAAUGGUUUAAAAAGACGAUAAGACCCUAAAAACUUAAUUAUUAUUAUAAAUAUAAAUUUAUUAAUAAAUUUAUAUUUAUAAUAAUAAUUUAACUGGGGUAGUUUUAUUAUAUUUUUUAGUUGAAUUUAUACUUUUGUGUUUAUGAACCUUAAAAUUAGGGUUUUUGUUUUAGCUACUUUAGGGAUAACAGCGUAAUUUUUUUGGAGAGACCAUAUCUAUAAAAAUGUUUGCGACCUCGAUGUUGAAUUAGUAAGUCUAGUUUAAGCAGUCUUAAAUUAAGAAGGUUUGUUCAACCUUUAAAUUACUACAUGAUCUGAGUUCAAACCGG